GUGUCAUGGAAGGUUUGGAGGACACAGCAGUCAGGAAGCUAGGCAAAUAAUUUUACUGAAUCCAGAGAUGGAACUUUUUCCAGGAAACACAGAACCAGCUUCCUGGUCAGUGAGAGGGGCAUGACAGGAUUUAUAGAAAGAUGCAAGAGAUGGCUGUUGUCUAUACUCGAGCGGAUCGGUAGGAAUGGGAAAAUCAAUCAAAAUGUAUAAAAUGGAGGGCUGCCUCUUCAGGAGAUGGCGAGAGGCGCAUUAUGUUCCUUCGGGGGGGAGGGUCCAAAAAGACAUGUGCUUCCCUUGGUUGGCAUUGCACGAGAGUCCUGUUCAUCACUUGGCAGCUCCCAAACCAUACAGGGACUGAAGAUGCAAUGUGAUCUUGCCCAGGAUUGCAAAUAUCCAGACGUUCCUGUACCAAACCUGCAUGCCCAGAUCCUUCAACAGUUUCCAGUGCUGCAAUACCGAAAGUCUUGCCGCUAUUGAUAAUUUGGAAAGAUCUUUA